CAGAGGUUUUGUUCAAAUCCCAGCUCUACCACUGUUCAGCUCUGUGACCUGGGGCAAGUUGUUGAACCUUGCUAAUCCUUGCUCUCCAGUUCUGUAAAAUGGGCAGAACUGGUUUAAGACUAGGAAUAAUGUACUUACUCAAUGAAUGAUAAUUAUAAUUAUCAUUAUCAUCCCAUCUGGCUUGAGCAACCAUCUCUUGGGGCUAAGAAGGCACACUUUUCUCACAAGUUAAGCCACUCACCAAAGCAAUCAGCCAUCACCUGCCUAGGUUUUCCUCAGCCUGGAUUCUCUGCUGUUGUGACUGAUGGAGAACAGAGAUGAAGUUCUGAGCUUCUAUAACAAACACCAAGAGGAAAACAAACUCUGAGCUCUCUGGGAUAGAGGGCCAUUCUCCUCCUGAGUCCUUUUGUGGCAGCUGCUCCCCUAGUGCCUGGAUGGGGGAUGCUAUGAUUGGCCCAGUGUUUCUUACUUAACCCCCUUCACUUUCUGUUCACCAUGGAGAAGACUCUGGCCCCAGCUCACCUAAAAUACUGUUCUCUUUCAUGGACUUGAUGAGGUCUUUGCCACUGUGUAGUCCAACUCCUUUACAAAUGCAGAAACUGAGGCUCAGAGGGGGUGAUCUAAUCAAGGUUCUUCAAAAAUUUAGUUGUGGAUCUGAUGCUAGCACCCAGGAAUUCUGGGGCACCAUCUCUUCCUCUGAGCUCACUCCCCUUUGAUCUGGCUCCUCAUAGCUGACAGGGAGCUCUUCUUAAGCCUAAAGGCUUUAAGCAAACCAAUCUCCAUCACUUGCCCCUGCUCCUCCUUCUUCAUGCUCCCAAGGGUGUGCUGGGAGAUUAGCCUCUGCAUCAAGAAACCUGUCUCUGCUGUGUGACCUUGGGCAAGUCACUGUCUCUCUUUGGGCCUCUGUCUAAUGAGGAUGUUGGAACACCUGAUCUCCAAAGGUAUUUCCACUCUGAUAGUCACAAACUCUGUGCAGGUGAGCUCCAACCCUCAGGUCUCAAUGAUACCCAGAUUCACUUGAGCCCAUACUGACAGGUGAGCUUUCCCAUCCAGUCUUGAAUGCAGGCUUCACAUCCCGAUCACUGAGCUUAAGGGAUUCGAGGCAGGCAUGAGGACCCUUUAAUGCAAUGAUGGGUGUACCACGAGGCUGUACUGCAAUCAACAAACCAAACCCUCUCCAAUACAGAGUUUAGUUGGAAAGACUCCAUCCUUGCUGGAGACCCAUGAAUCCACCACUCAGUUCCCUUUAAACAACCUGGGCUCUUUUGGGGAACUCUCAGGAAUGCCAUUCUAGAACUGGGGCUCCCUAGGCAUGGCCAGCAUCAGGUCUUUAGCCGUUCAGAGCCAAUUCUGGAAGAUGGCCCCAGCCCACGUGCUCACACAAAUCUCUUUGGGCAUCAUCCAACACUGCCCCCCUCCCAGCCCCCUACUCCCACCCCGCCUGAUCAGCGUUUGGAAAGGAACAGGGGCAGCUCCUCCCUGGGCCCAAGAGACUCCCUGCCCAGGAAGCCAUAUCCCGCCAGCACCUCCCGUGCUCCCCCAGGGCCACACCUGCAGAGGGAUGAUAAGGGAAUUGGAUUCUCCAGCAACACCAGAGGCACAGUCCAAAGAUCCAGAAUAUUUAGCUGUGUUUACCCGCAAUAAUCAGCUUCUCAAAGACGUGUCACUGGGCAGCUCUUGCUACAUUGAUUAUGCUGCCUCAUAUUUUUGGCCCCCGGGGGCAAACAGCUCUGAUUAAUAUUUCACAACACAGGUUUUUUUUUUUUUUUAAUAUUCCUUUCUUCAUGUUGUUGCCUUUCUCUCUCUCUCUCUCUUUUUUUUUUUUUUUUUUUUUUUCUUCCUCCCGAGCCCCUGAGAGCCUGAUAGAGAGACACGGAAUAUUUUACCGUCUCUUGUGUCUGCCUGCUCCAGUAAUCAGCGGACUCAAUCACGCUUGCAGUGUUUUUAUGAAUUAAUAACAGGCACUUUGGAGGGCUAGCGGGGGAGGCAGGAAAUGCAAUCUAUGGAAGCUUAAUGAGCGCCGUGGGGAACAGCUACCUCGCUGCCUCCAACCCUGCCAUGCCACGCUCUAAAUCAUCCUUUCUGAGAUUACCCACUUCCAGAACAGCCUCGACAGCUUGUGUGGGGCUCCUGCAUGGCCCUCUGUCCCUGCUAGGCCCUCCCAAAAACAGGGAUCUGGGAGAGGCAGCCGAAGCACAUCUCCAUUUUAAUUUGAAAAAAGAAAAGGAGCAAAGGGAUCUGGCUUUGGCCAGAGAAACCGCCCCGCCCUGCAGGCUCUCGGCAUCUGUUGCUUUUCAACCUGGGUGAGAAGGGGUGAGGGCAGGGCAGGGAAGAUGGGCAGGUGGCCCGGGCAGGGCCCUAGGGAGACACAAUCCAGAGCAUAGGGAGGCCUUACUCCCUAUGGGUCUAGAAAUCUGUUCUUGUUGGGGUUCUCCAGGACUAGAUUCUAAAGGGCUAGGUGAUGCCACUGAAAGUCCCAAGGACUUGAGCUGUAUGUCGUGAUUAAAAAAUAUCUAGUCCAUUGGAGAAGAGACUUGUGGCUGCCUGAUGGGAGGGGGAGGGAGUGGGAGGGAUCGGGAGCUUGGGCUUAUCAGACACAACUUAGAAUAGAUUUACAAGGAGAUCCUGCUGAAUAGCAUUGAGAACUAUGUCUAGAUACUCAUGUUGCAACAGAACAAAGGGUGGGGGAAAAAAUGUAAUUGUAAUGUAUACAUGUAAGGAUAACCUGACCCCCUUGCUGUACAGUGGGGAAAAAAAAAAAAAUCUAGUCCAUCACAGUCUGAUGUAUAGUCCCACUGAGCAUGAUCAAGCCACAGUUCACACCACAUAACCGUCAUCACCCUAGUUUGACUACCCUCAAUCCCUGUUCAUGAGACCCAUCCACUGACCAUGAACUUGGAUGGUAGGGAAAAGUCAAUGGCUACAGAAGUUUCUAAGUAUUUACUCUCAACUCUCUUGUAUUCUGGUAACAGUUCAGUUCACACAUAAACUUUGAUCCUUAUACCACACUGUGAGCAGUGCCAAUCCAAACUUGAAUGCCACAUUCUUAAUGCCACCACAUUUGCAAAGGGAAACAUAAUCACCAAGUAAUCCAAGACCAUGUGGCCAGGGUCAGAGUCAUCUUUACCAACAGAACGAUGGGUAGUCAGAACUUUUUUUUUUUUUUUUUUUUUUGCUUUUUAGGGCAAAACUCAUGGCAUAUGAAAGUUCUCAGGCUAGGGGUCGAAUUGGAGCUACAGCUGCCAGCCUACACCACAGCCAUGGCAACGCCAGAUCUGAGCCACGUCUGCAACCUAUACCACAGCUCUCGGCAAUGAUGGGUCUUUAGCCCACUGAGCGAGGCCAGGGAUCAAACCCACAUCCUUGUGGAUUGGAGUCAGGUUCGUUAACCACUGAGCCAUGAAGGGAACUCCUGGGUAGUCAGAUUGGAAUUGGAAAGCUGUAUGGGAAGCAAGAUAUGUUUAUUUUUCUUCUCUUUCUCUCUUUCACUUUUUAUUUUGGCAAAUGUCAUCUAUACAAAAAUAGAAUAGCAUAAUGAGCCACCACAUGCCCAGCACUGCGCGUCAGUUAUUAAGAUAAAUGUUUGUAACCUUACCUUCUCCAUAAGGACAGGUCUCCCCCCACCAGGUGCCAUGUAUCCAGGAUGCUGGGAAACCAACGCGUUGCCCCCACGAGCUGCCCUCUUUAGAGGUACCAUGCAGCCCAUUCUCUUCUGGUGGCCCAGGCUUCCCCCUGGCAUCACCCCUCCCCCAUCAUUCUCCCUGAAGGACGCCCUGGGCAUGCAGGUGGGAGAGACCCUUCAAUCACGUGUUCUCAGAUACUCAGCUGUGCCUCCACCGUGGGAGAUGACUGGUCUCUUUCACUACAUUUUGCAUCUUCCUUAUUCAUUCCCAUGUGGUAACUUCUAGGACCUGGAAAACCAGAAAGCAAGAGCUUAGGAGCAUUGUACAUUACACCUGGGGCUCAGAGGCACCUGCUUGAGACCUGCAAGUCCAUCUCUAUAUGCAGCUGUUAUAAGUAACAGGAGAACUGGCCAAUCUCUUGGUCCCUGCCUGGUCUGCACCAUGGAGCUCCAAACACAGCAAGACCUGCGUCUGCACUCAGGGGCUCACCGUCCAGUGUUAAGAGUGCCUGGGGCUGUGGGAGAGCAAACACCAAUCACCUGGGGAGAUGGUGUGUCACCCCUUCGUGAACCAGCUACUGGGGAGGAAACACAGAGACGAUGCUUGGACGAUGAUGCAGGAGGAGAAUAGAGGGAGAGACUGGGAGAGAGGAAGAGGGGGAGAUAGGUGAAGGGUAAGACAGAAAUACAUGAACACAUACACACACCACUCGAUGUGCAGAGGCAUGUUAGAGAGCCAGAGCUAGGGGUAGGUGACAAAGCAAGAGGGGCAAGUCGGGUGGGAGUGAACACGGAGACUUAGGUCCCACUGGACUCUGUCGCGUGGAAGGGUGGGGCUCAGCAAGGUCCCAAGGCCCCACCUUGCACACAUGUCAUAACAGUUCUUAAGAUCACAGCUCACUAACCAUGUUCACACAAAACUGAAGAUCCCGAUGAGCAAACAGCACCCCUGUGUCAGCCACUCUCCUCUCACAAGGGAGCACUGCUUUUUGUCAAAACUCCUCCCCAAAACGCCUUCGACCAAAGCCAGGUGUUCUUGGGAGACUUGGGCUCACUGUUAGUUAUUUUCAGUAUUAUUAUACUUGUACCCCCAAAAGGGGACUGCAGACUAGCAGUAUCGGCAUCACUGGGACACCUGUGAGAAAUUCGGGUUCUCAGGCCCCUGUCCUGUCCCCUGAAUCAGAAUCUGCAUUUUAACUCCAUCCCCAGGUCAUUCGUGGGCGGCAUCAAGGGUAAGAAGCGCCUCUCUACUGCACUCUUGGGGACCCCUUCCCGGAACACCAACUUCUCUUUAUCGCUUCCCCACCCCCUCCGCUGGUUUGCUGCCAGCCUGGAGAAGUCCAUCUCUUCAGCCACGCUCUCAGGGACCAGGAGAUAAUGGCUUCAUAUUGAUGUCUCCCAAAUGCAUUUUAGUGAAAAUGUCUUAAAGAUCUAAAAGCCUUUAACAUCCCAGGGAAUGUAUUUCUAAUGAUACAAUUUCAGGCCCCUUGACAAGCCUUGACAAAAGAUAUUUCUAGGUAGGAAAGAGGCCUUCCUGACAUCGCUUAAAUUCUGUCAUGUAAUAAAAACUGGUAUUUGUAUGGCAUCUUAAUUUUACAAACUGUGUUUAUUCCAUCUCUCCUUUAAUGCUUCUACCACCUGAAAGACAAGCAAGGCAGCUUUUAGGAUCCCUAUGUUAUGGGGCGGAAACUUGAGCUCAGAGAGGUUAAGAGACUGUGGUGCCUGUGGCCACCCAGCUUCAGAGAAGCUGAGGCAGGCAUGGACCCCCAGGUCACCUCCCCCAACCUUGGGCUCUGUCUGGACAGGGCCACACGAAUGAGACAAUCCUGCAAGAAAGAACUGUGUGCAAACUGAGGUUCGCUUAUUUUUUAUUUUUUAUUUUUUUACACUUAGAAUCCCAUCUCAAAAGCACAGGAGUCAAAUGUCCAGUUCAGCGGUACUAUUUCCCCUAGGCUCUCAGCCCUAAACUAGGAGGUAGGCAACGGGGGUGCCCAAGAUCCAGCCCCUGCCCUUGGGAGCUAGAAUGUUAGGGCUUCAUUUUUUAAAAAAUCCUUCCAAGGAGCAGAAAUGUGUUCUCACAUUACAGCACCACCAAAAAACAAAAACGAACACAAAAGAAUUUUAUUUUUCCCGAAGAAAGUAGAAAUCUCUCUUCUCUUAAAAAUGAUCAACUCAGCUCCCAGUUCCCCCUCCCCCACUUGCAGCUAACAGGUGUUUCCCAGGAUGCCUCUUGCCUACUGCUUGCACAGAGGACAUGGGUUCCUAGAGCGAUGGAUCAGCACCUUUCACAACUCAGCCUAAGUGUUCCUGGUGCCAAAUCUAACCUCUACAAAACACGAAACCUCUUUUGUUUUUUUUCAGCAACACAUUUGAAUAAGCUUUUCUCAAAUUGGAUUUAAGGUGGUUUCACUUCCCUCUGCUCUUCUUCUAAUCAAAAAUUACCUUUUCUGUGUCCCAUUUCCUCUGAGCCCUCUAGAUAAUUUAAGCUAGUUUUUACGAACCACUUUGCAGGUAAAAGGAUUUAACUAAUAUUAGUAUUUUACUUUUCCCCAAGAAAAUAUACCUUUCUAAACUCAUCACUGGCCCAAUCCAGCAUUUUUCACCAAAUGUAUGUCUACAGAGGUCUAGUGAGGGCUUGAUGAAAAUGCCUUCCUGGUCAGUAGGGUUGGGAACUCCUGGAGGCUAGAAGCCCUGUCCCAUCCCACCUUGGAUCAUUAGCACUUUAAAGGCUCUGAGAAGUCCUGCAAGGUAGAAAUUUCUACAUUUAUUUAAAAUUUUAUUUUUUUAUUUUUUCUUCAUUUUUAUGGUUUUUUCUAUUAGAGCUGGUUUACAGUGUUCUUUCAAUUUGUGCUGUACAGCAAAGUGACCCAGUCAUACAUAUACAUACAUUCUUUUUCUCACAUUAUCCUCCAUCAUGUUCCAUCACAAGUGACUAGAUAUAGUUCCCUGUGCUAUACAGCAGAAUCUCAUUGCUUAUCUACGUCAAAGGUAAUAGUUUGCAUCUAUUAAACCCAGACUCCCAGUCCAUCCCACUCCCACCGCUUCCCCCUUGGCAACCACAAGCCUGUUCUCCAAAUCCAUGAACUUCUUUUCUGUGGAAAGGUUCAUUUGUGCUCCAUUUUAUAUUCCAGAUGUUGGUGAUAUCAUAUGGUAUUUGUCUUUCUCUUUCUGACUUACUUCACUUAGUAUGAGAGUGUCUAGUCCUAUCCAUGUUGCUGCAAAUGGCAUUAUUUUGUUCUUUUUUAUAGCUGAGUAGUAUUCCAUUGUGUAUAUAUCACAUCUUCUGAAUCCAUUCAUCUGUGGAUGGACAUUUAGGUUGUUUCCAUGUCAUGGCUAUUGUGAAUAGUGCUGCAAUGAACAUAUGGGUGCAUGUAUAUUUUUCAAGGAAAGUUUUGUCCAGAUACAUGCCCAAGAGUGGGAUUGCUAGGUCAUAUGGUAGCUCUAUAUUUAGUUUUCUGAGGUACCUCCAUACUGUUUCCCAUAGUGGUUGUACCAAUUUACAUUCCCACCAAGGGUACCCUUUCUCCACACCCUCUCCAGCAUUCGUUAUUUGUAGACUUACUAAUCAUUCCCAAUCUGACAGGAGUGAGGUGAUACCUCAUUGUAGUUUUGAUUUGCAUUUCUCUGAUAAUUAGUGAUGUUGAGCAUUAUUUCAUGUGCUUGUCAGCCAUCUGCAUGUCUUCUUCGGAGAAAUGUCUAUUCAGGUCUUCUGCCCAUUUUUUAAUUGGGUUGUUGGUUUUUUGGCUGUUGAGUUGUAUAAGUUGUUUGUAUAUUUUAUAGAUUAAGCCCUUGUCAGUUGCAUCUUUUGCACCUAUUUUGUCCCAUUCUGUAGGUUGUCUUUUUGGUUUUUUUUUUGUUUUUGUUUUUUUAUGGUUUCCUUUGCUGUGCAAAAGCUUGUCAGUUUGAUUAGGUCCCCUUGGGGUUUUUUUGUUUUUUUGUUUUUUUUUUGCUUUUAUUUCUGUUGCCUUGGGAGACUGACCUAAAAAAACAUUAAUAUGGUUGACGUCAUAAAAUGUUUUGCCUAUGUUCUCUUCUAGGAGUUCGAUGGUGUCUUAUGUUUCAGUCUUUAAGCCAUUUUGAGUUUAUUUUUGUGCAUGGUGUGAGGAUGUGUUCCAAUUUCACUGAUUUACAUGCAGCUGUUCAGUUUUCCCAGCACCACUUGCUUUCACCUCCUUAGUAAGGUUUAUUCCUAGGUAUUUAAUUUUGGGGGGUGUGAUUUUAAAAGUUAUUCUCUUUUUGUAUUCCUUUGCUAAUAUUUCAUUGUUAGUAUACAGAAAUGCAACCCAUUUCUGAAUGUUAAUCUUGUAUCCUGCUACUUUGCUAAAUUUGUUGAUCAGUUUGAAUAGUUUUUGCAUGGAGUCCUUAGGGUUUUCUAUAUAUAGUAUCAUGUAAUUGCACAAAGUAACAAUUUUACCUCUUCUCUUCCAAUUUGGAUUUCUUUUGUUUGUUUGAUUUCUGUGGCUAGAACUAUGCUGAAUAAAAGUGGUAAGAAUGGGG
rnacentral:lncRNA from 1 species